UGGUAGAAAUUGGAGAAUUUGGGAUUAAGUUUUGAUUAUUGAUUUUUGGAUGAAAAAGUGUAGAAACCAUAGAAUUGAAUGGUGAAAAGAGUGGUUAAUCAGGUAGGUUAGUGAUGGGUUAACGUUUUAAUGAUAGGGUAAUCAUAUGGUGAUGUUUAUGGAUGAUUUUGGAGAGUUUAGGGUUAAGAGAUGGAGCAAAGGAGGUUCCCAUGGUAGAAAAUCGCAGAAAAUCUGUGAUUUCAGCAUGUCUGAUACUGUCGAAAUCAUGAGGCGAUUCUAGAAAUCAUGAGGCGAUUUUGACAGAAAAUGUGUAAUUUUAGUAUGUCUGAUGCUGUCGAAAUCAUGAGGCGAUUCUAGAAAUCAUGAGGCGAUUUUGACAGAAAAUGUGUAAUUUUAGUAUGUCUGAUGCUGUCGGAAACAUGAGGCGAUUUUAGAAAUCAUGAGGCGAUUUUGACAGAAAAUGUGUAAUUUUAGUAUAACUGAUGUUGUCUUACCAUAAACCCUAAAAUGCAAUUUUCUUCACUCCAAAUGCUUCCAAACUUCUUCCUAAGUGUAGGGACUUUAUCCUAAACGUAUAGAGAUGUUUUUAGGAAAGAUAUAACGUUGUUUAAGGGUCUAAUGAGUUCAUGAGUAGUCCUUGGGUUAGGGAUGGAAGUUGUCUAUAAGGGUAUAGCCUCUCAAUGUAUCUAAGCUAAUCUAAUUGAUGUUGUUGAUUACUAAUAUCUUUGAGUUGUUGAAUUCUGUUUGAACGUUUUGAAUGGAGCUUGAUGUAUGAACAUGAUUAAGAUAAAUUGUGCAUUUUUCUGGGUAGUUGAAUCUCUGUUGAUUGUUGAUUGAUGUUGAGGAAUGAAAUGUAUGUUUUAACUAUUAAUCAUACAUGUUGUUUAAGUGGAGUCACAUGGAGUUUGCAUUGCAUGGUCAGCUGUAUGUAGAUAUACACAAGUAGGUCCAUGGCAUAUGCAUAAAACAGCGGUGAGGACUCAUGUCCUGGAGUACUAGUUGCUCAACAGCGGUGAGGGGUUCGGUCCUGAUGAAUGCUUUAACCAUUCAAAAGCGGUGAGGGCUUCGGUCCUGUUUGGUACCACAUGCAUAUUUGCAUAUUUGCGGAGUCUAAGGUGUUGUCUUAGCAGUGUUGUCAUGUCCAUUGCAUGAGUCUUAAUUGUUGGUUGUAGAUGCCACUAGAUGUUGUUGAUGUCGUUGAUGAAUAUAUGUAAAUAUUUAUAUACAUAUGGUGAUGUGUGGAUAUUGAUGAUUGUUGUUGUUGCUUUGUGAAUUAUUAUGUUAUAUUUGCAAGAUGAUGUAUUUGAUGUUAGGGUGUUAGAUUCAAUUGAAGAUUUUGAUAUCUAUAUUUAUUGUUGUGAAUCUCACCCCUUCUGCUUGAAAAUGUUGCCCUUCCUAUGGGUAACUUGCAGGUGAUCCUGAGUAGUCGGUGGUGGCUCAAUGUCGUGUCUAGGGCUCUGAUACGUGGGAUGGGAAUUACUAUUUAUAUUAUUGUUGUUUUUCCUUCCUAUGUAUCAAUUUUUGGAACUUGAUGAUGUGGCCCUUUGAUGAUUGAUAUUGUUGUUAGGCUUAUGCCAAGAUAUUAUGUUGGAGGUUUUUAACCGUUGUUGUGGUUAUUUGAAAUGCAAACUUUCCGCUGCAUAAUUUUUGAGGUUAUGAAUGAUGUCAAUUUAAAUAGUUUUAUUUUCUAUUUAAGGAAUUUUGAAUUUGCAAUGUAGCAUGCCCGUUUGGUGCUCAACUCUGAUGAAUAAUUGUUAUUUAAUUACUUUUGGGUAACGGGGUGUUACAAUUUGGUAUCAGAGCAGGUUGGUCCGUCCGGCCAAGUAGUAGAGUCGUGUUGAGCCACCUAGGUUAGAGUGUCAACUUUUAUGUUGCUUUUUGUUGUUGUUCUAAGUUGUUGUUUCUCAUGUAGAAUUUCGAGAUGACUGGAAGUAGUGAUGCUGCUCUUGUUGCUGCGCUUGAGGCUGUAGCUCAAGCUGUUCAACAGCAACCAAAAGCUGAAGCUGGUAUUGAUGGAACCAGAAUGUUGGAGACCUUCUUGAGGAAUCAUCCACCAACCUUCAAAGGUAGAUAUGAUCCUGAUGGUGCUCAGAAAUGGCUGAAGGAAGUUGAAAGGAUUUUCAGGGUCAUGCAGUGUUCUGAGACACAGAAGGUGCGGUUUGGGACGCACAUGUUAGCGGAAGAGGCUGACGACUGGUGGGUGAGUUUGUUGCCUGUGCUGGAACAGGGUGAUACUGUGGUGACUUGGGCUAUGUUCAGGAAGGAGUUUAUGAGUAGGUACUUUCCGGAGGAUGUCAGAGGUAAGAAAGAAAUUGAGUUUCUGGAGCUGAAACAGGGUGAUAUGUCCGUUACGGAGUAUGCUGCUAGGUUUGUGGAACUUGCUAAGUUCUACCCUCACUAUAGUGUGGAGACAGCUGAGUUCUCCAAGUGUAUCAAAUUUGAGAAUGGGUUGAGAGCUGACAUCAAAAGAGCUAUUGGGUAUCAGCAGAUCAGAGUCUUCUCUGAGUUGGUAAACAGAUGUAGAAUUUAUGAAGAAGACACCAAAGCUCAUUACAAGAUAAUGAGUGAGAGGAGGGGUAAGGGACAGCAGAAUCGUCCUAAGCCUUAUAGUGCUCCUGCUGACAAAGGAAAGUAGAAGAUGAAUGAUGAUAGGAGACCCAAGAGGAGAGAUGCUCCUUCUGAGAUUGUUUGUUAUAAGUGUGGUGAGAAAGGCCACAAGAGCAAUGUUUGUGGUAGAGAUGAUAGAAAAUGCUUCAGGUGUGGUCAGAAGGGUCACAGUCUAGCUUAAUGCAAGCGUGGGGAUAUUGUCUGCUACAAUUGCAAUGGAGAGGGUCAUAUCAGUUCACAGUGUCCUGAGCCGAAAAAGGCUAGAACUGGUGGGAAGGUGUUUGCUUUGACUGGUACGCANACUACCAAUGAGGACCGACUUAUCAGAGGUACUUGUUUCUUUAAUAGUACUCCUUUAAUUGCUAUUAUUGAUACUGGUGCUACUCAUUGUUUUAUUGCUAUUGAAUGUGCCUAUAAGUUAGGUUUGGAUGUAUCUGGUAUGAAAGGGGAAAUGGUUGUUGAAACUCCAGCUAAGGGUUCAGUAACCACUUCUCUUGUUUGUCUGGGGUGUCCUAAAUCUAUGUUUGGUAGAGAUUUUGUGGUUGAUUUAGUUUGUCUGCCGUUGUCGGGUAUGGAUGUUAUUUUUGGAAUGAAUUGGUUAGAGUAUAACCGAGUUCAUAUCAACUGCUAUAGUAAGACGGUGCAUUUUUCUUCUGCUGAGGAAGAAGGUGAGGUUGAGCUUCUGUCUACAAAACAGAUGAAACAGUUUGAACGUGAUGGAAUUCUGAUGUAUUCUCUAAUGGCAUAAUUGUCGUUAGAAAAUCAAGCUGUGAUGGACAGGUUACCUGUAGUGAAUGAAUUUCCAGAAGUAUUUCCUGAUGAGAUUUCUGAUGUGCCACCAGAGAGGGAGGUUGAAUUUUCAAUUGAGCUUGUUCCAGGAACGAAGCCGGUGUCGAUGGCACCAUACCGUAUGUCAGCUUCUGAGUUAGCUGAAUUAAAGAAGCAGUUGGAGGACCUGUUAGAUAAGAAAUUUGUAAGACCCAGUGUUUCACCUUGGGGAGCACCGGUGUUGUUGGUUAAGAAGAAGGAUGGUAGUAUGAGACUGUGCAUAGAUUACCGUCAGUUGAACAAGGUUACGAUAAAGAACAGGUAUCCGCUUCCUAGAAUUGACGACUUGAUGGAUCAAUUGGUUGGUGCUAAGAUCUUUAGCAAGAUUGACUUGAGGUCUGGUUAUCAUCAGAUAAAGGUGAAGGAUGAGGAUAUGCAGAAGACGGCCUUUAGGACACGUUAUGGUCAUUACGAGUACAAAGUGAUGCCUUUCGGUGUUACUAACGCGCCUGGUGUGUUUAUGGAGUACAUGAACCGAAUCUUCCAUGCUUUUCUGGAUAAGUUUGUUGUGGUGUUUAUUGAUGAUAUCUUAAUUUAUUCCAAGAAUGAAGAGGAGCAUGCAGAACACCUGAGAAUUGUAUUGCAAGUGUUGAAGGAAAAGAGGUUGUAUACAAGGUUUUAAAAUGUGAGUUCUGGUUAAGUGAAGUAAGCUUUCUGGGUCACAUUAUUUCUGGUAGUGGUAUUGCAGUGGAUCCUUCAAAGGUUGAUGUGGUAUCACAAUGGGAGACUCCGAAGUCGGUAACUGAGAUCAGAAGUUUUCUGGGUUUGGCUGGUUAUUACCGCAGGUUCAUAGAAGGGUUUUCGAAAUUGGCUCUUCCGUUGACACAGUUGACCUGUAAGGGUAAAUCUUUUGUGUGGGAUGCUCAGUGUGAGAGUAGUUUCAAUGAAUUGAAGCGAAGAUUGACAACUGCUCCUGUUUUGAUUUUGCCUAGACCAGAAGAACCGUUUGUUGUGUACUGUGAUGCAUCUAAGCUGGGCUUAGGUGGUGUUCUGAUGCAAGAUGGUAAGGUGGUAGCAUAUGCUUCUAGGCAAUUGCGUGUUCAUGAGAAAAAUUAUCCUACACAUGAUCUAGAAUUGGCUGCAGUGGUUUUUGUUUUGAAAAUUUGGAGGCAUUCUUUGUACGGUUCCAGAUUUGAGGUGUUCAGUGAUCAUAAAAGUUUGAAGUAUUUAUUUGACCAGAAGGAACUGAACAUGAGGUAGAGGAGGUGGUUAGAGUUACUGAAGGAUUAUGAUUUUGGCUUGAAUUACCAUCCUGGUAAGGCCAAUGUUGUUGCUGAUGCUUUGAGCAGGAAAACUUUGCACAUGUCUGCUUUGAUGGUGAAAGAAUUUGAAUUGUUAGAACAGUUCAGAGACAUGAGUCUUGUCUGUGAAUUGUCAUCUCAGAGUAUACAGUUGGGGAUGUUGAAGAUUGAUAGUGAUUUCUUGAACAGUAUCUGAGAAGCUCAGAAAGUGGAUUUAAAGUUUGUUGAUUUGAUGACUUCAGGUAAUGACACCGAGGAUAGUGAUUUUAAGGUUGAUGAUCAGGGUGUGCUGAGGUUCAGAGGAAGGGUUUGUAUUCCUGACAAUGAUGAUUUGAAGAAGUUGAUUCUUGAGGAGAGUCACAAUAGUAGGUUGAGUAUUCACCCGGGGGCUACAAAAAUGUACCAUGAUUUGAAGAAACUGUUUUGGUGGUCCGGUUUGAAAAGAGAUGUUGCUCAGUUUGUUUAUGCCUGUUUGAUUUGUCAGAAGUCCAAGGUUGAGCAUCAGAAGCCUGCAGGGUUGUUGACACCGUUGGAUGUACCGGAGUGGAAGUGGGACAGUAUCUCUAUGGAUUUUGUGACGAGUUUACCGAACACUCCGAGAGGGCAUGACGCUAUUUGGGUUGUUGUCGACCGAUUGACGAAGUCGGCACACUUCAUUCCUAUUAAUAUCAGUUAUCCGGUAGCGCAGUUAGCAGAGAUAUACAUUCACAGUGUGGUGAAGCUUCAUGGUGUUCCGUCGAGUAUUGUGUCGGAUAGAGAUCUGAGGUUCACUUCUAGGUUCUUGAAGAGUUUACAGGACGCCUUGGGUUCGAAGUUGAGGUUGAGUUCGGCUUAUCAUCCUCAAACAGAUGGUCAGUCGGAGAGGACAAUUCAAUCAUUGGAAGAUUUGUUGAGGGUGUGUGUGCUUGAACAAGGUGGAGCUUGGGAUAGUCACUUGCCUUUGGUUGAGUUCACUUAUAACAACAGCUAUCACUCGAGUAUUGGUAUGGCACCGUUCGAAGCCUUGUAUGGUCGGAGGUGUAGGACUCCUUUAUGCUGGUUUGAGUCGGGUGAGAGUGUUGUGUUGGGACCGGACUUGGUUCAUGAGACUACUGAGAAAGUCAGGUUGAUAAGAGAAAAGAUGAAAGCUUCGCAGAGUCGACAGAAGAGUUACCAUGACAAGCGAAGAAAGGAUCUUGAGUUUCAGGAGGGUGAUCAUGUUUUUCUGAGAGUCACUCCUUUGACGGGUGUUGGACGUGCUUUGAAGUCGAGAAAGUUGACUCCUAAGUUCAUUGGUCCGUAUCAGAUUUCAGAGAGAGUUGGUACAGUGGCAUAUAGAGUUGGUUUGCCACCUCAUCUUUCGAACUUGCACGAUGUGUUUCAUGUUUCUCAGCUUCGGAAGUAUGUUGCGGAUCCUUCACAUGUGAUACCGAGGGAUGAUGAUGUGCAGGUUAGGGACAACCUGACAGUUGAGACUAUGCCGUUGAGGAUUGAUGAUAGAAAGGUGAAGUCCUUGAGGGGUAAAGAGAUACCUCUUGUGAGAGUCGUUUGGGGUGGAGCGACUGGUGAAAGUUUGACUUGGGAGCUGGAGAGUAAGAUGCGGGAGUCGUACCCGGAGUUGUUUGCUUGAGGUAAGAUUUCGAGGACGAAAUUCUGUAAUUUGGGGAGAGUUGUAACGCCCUAGUCGUUAUAUUUAAUUAUUUUGAUUUAAUUAGAGUCUUAUAUGUGAUUUAUGAUUUUUGGUGAUUUAUGUGAUGUGUUUAUUUUAUUACAUAGUUUAUUUUAAUAAUAAUUAGAAUAAGUGUGAAAUAAUAAUUAUUUUGGUGUUUGGGGAGUUAAUAGAAUUUAUGGGGAGUUUAGUGUAAUAAAGGGGAGUUGAGAAGGCAGUUAAUAAAGAAAGAAAAGAGUCAGAAAACACUUUACGUGAAACUGACAGUUUUGGGAGAAAGGGAGAGAAGAGCAAGUUAGGCCAAGGAACCACUUUUGCUGUGCAUUUGUCUGCAAUUUCUAAGGUAAGGGUGAGGUUUACUUUCAAUAGUAUAGAUUGUAAUUCUGAUUUUGGAUUUAACAUGUUUCUGGUAGAAAUUGGAGAAUUUGGGAUUAAGUUUUGAUUAUUGAUUUUUGGAUGAAAAAGUGUAGAAACCAUAGAAUUGAAUGGUGAAAAGAGUGGUUAAUCAGGUAGGUUAGUGAUGGGUUAACGUUUUAAUGAUAGGGUAAUCAUAUGGUGAUGUUUAUGGAUGAUUUUGGAGAGUUUAGGGUUAAGAGAUGGAGCAAAGGAGGUUCCCAUGGUAGAAAAUCGCAGAAAAUCUGUGAUUUCAGCAUGUCUGAUACUGUCGAAAUCAUGAG
rnacentral:lncRNA from 1 species